GAGCGCCGUAUGCGCUGAAAGGUGCAUGUACGGUGUGGAGCGGGGGAAAACCUAGAGAAGUUAUUUGCUUUUAGUAGCUAAGAAAGCAAACUUCAAAAGGUUACCUAUCGCUAU
rfam:Enterococcus termitis strain LMG 8895 40, whole genome shotgun sequence.